rnacentral:lncRNA from 1 species
GGACUCCCUGCCAGUGAUUUAAGGCUGCUUCUACAGAGCUGGCGGGCCUCUAGGAGCUUGGCUAUAAGGGGUCCAUUAGCUAUGGGUGUGCCCUUGGUUCCUUCCAGAGGUCAGAAUGGAUAUAGGUUAUUAAAAAGCAUAUUUAGAGUCAGUAUAGAUGUUAGCCCUUGACCCUUGGCCAUCUGGAGUGCUCUAGUCAAGGCGAUUUAUUCAGCCUUUUGUGAAGAGUUUCCUAUUAGCAGGCGGGUUGCUCCAACCUUUUCAGUGGAAGUAACCACUGCAUACGCCACCUGGCGGUUUUCUGGUUUUCUGAUCUAUCUACAAGAGAACUUCUGUCAACAAACAGGGUGAGUUGGGGGUUUGUGAGUGGUUGGUCUAGGAGAAGAGAACAGGCUGGGGGGGGAGGGGGGAGCGGUUGGCCUCCACAGCCUCUGGGUAGGAGUGUGAGGAGGUGUCAGAGGGAGAGGGGAAGAGAGUAGGGUUGCAGGAUUUAGGGCAGGACUGGAGGCCAAGGUAAUUAAUAUGGGGGUUUUCUAGAAAAAGUAGGUGAAAGACUCGUGAGCGUCCAAGGAGGGAAACAGAAGAAUGACUCAGAAGAGAAAGUCUGAGAGGCGGUGGGUGGAAUACACUGUGAUUGGCCUGAACAAGGUGAUCUUGAGAGCCUCACGGGUGAGUUCAGCUGCUGCUGCCAGGGCUCUCAAGCAAGGCUGCCAUCCACAGACGGUGAGGUAAUGUGUAUAUA